rnacentral:rRNA from 1 species
UGCAAGUCGAACGAUUAAACUUUCCUUCGGGAAAGAUAUAAAGUGGCGCACGGGUGAGAAACACGUAAGUAAUCUACCUUUGGAUGGGGAAUAACAGUCGGAAACGACUGCUAAUACCGCAUAAUGCAGCGGCACCUAAUGGUGACAGUUGUUAAAGUAUUUAUACGUCUGAAGAGGAGCUUGCGGCAGAUUAGCUAGUUGGUAAGGUAACGGCUUACCAAGGCUACGAUCUGUAUCCGACCUGAGAGGGUGGUCGGACACACUGACACUGAAUAACGGGUCAGACUCCUACGGGAGGCAGCAGUCGGGAAUUUUGGGCAAUGGGCGAAAGCCUGACCCAGCAACGCCGCGUGAAGGAUGAAGUCUUUCGGGAUGUAAACUUCGUAAGAAUAGGAAGAAUAAAUGACGGUACUAUUUGUAAGGUCCGGCUAACUACGUGCCAGCAGCCGCGGUAAUACGUAGGGACCAAGCGUUGUUCGGAUUUACUGGGCGUAAAGGGCGCGUAGGCGGCGUGACAAGUCACUUGUGAAAUCUCCGGGCUUAACUCGGAACGGUCAAGUGAUACUGUUGUGCUAGAGUGCAGAAGGGGCAAUCGGAAUUCUUGGUGUAGCGGUGAAAUGCGUAGAUAUCAAGAGGAACACCUGAGGUGAAGACGGGUUGCUGGGCUGACACUGACGCUGAGGCGCGAAAGCUAGGGUAGCAAACGGGAUUAGAUACCCCGGUAGUCCUAGCCCUAAACGAUGAAUACUUGGUGUCUGGAGUUUUAAUUCUCCGGGUGCCGUCGCUAACGUUUUUAGUAUUCCGCCUGGGGAGUACGCACGCAAGUGUGAAACUCAAAGGAAUUGACGGGGACCCGCACAAGCGGUGGAGCAUGUGGUUUAAUUCGACGCAACGCGAAGAACCUUACCUGGACUAGAAUGCGAGGGAAGAUUGGGUAA